GUUUGAUUUCUCUGAAAUAUUGACUCUAUAUUAAUGUAGAAAAGCAUGAAACGGUGUCAGAGAAAGGGCAAAAAGUGUCCACUUAAAAAUUACGUGUUUGAGCUUAUUGACUUCUGUAGUAGCCACGGAUCCUUACAUUUUACUUCACCUGUGCGUUUAUUAAUGGACAAUACUUAUGUUUAUGUCUGUUGCCCUUGGUCCAGGUGGAAAAGCCAAAAUCUCCAGAACCAGAAGCAAUCCUGACGUUUCCAUUUCUGGACAAAAUGCCUGAAACCAACCAACUGCAUUUGCCAAACCUCAAUUCUCAAGCCAUGGUGUUUGCCAGAGUCCAGGAUGACUGAAUCCAUAACUUCAGGAUGGAAAGCUGGGGCUGCGUUCUCUAUCUGACCAAGCCAGGAACCCCAGCAGCAAAGGCCAUUUUGUCAGCAAGCACUAGAGGCACAAUAGGGCCUACACAAGUGUCUGAGACCAUAAAAAAUGUUGCAUUGGUUUCAAAAUAUAAAAAGACAGUUACAAAAUAAAAAGUCAAUAAUUUUAAUAAAACGUCUAUAAUAUUAUGUCAACUUCAUUGUUAA